UGUGCUCUGUUGAUGUUAGAGAAAACAAGUCAAUCUUCUCAGCUCUGACUUUGACAUCUUUGUGGAGGAGGAGAUGUUAGAAACUUCCAAAUUCCAGCUUCAUCAAGAUGUAAAACAGAUAAAGGAAUAUGGACCUUGAUUUUAUGAAGUUGUAAGGAAUCAAAAUGAUUAUGAUGACUUUCUAAAAUGAAAAAUAUGAAAUACAUUAUAACUAUUAACAAUAAAUCUCCC
rnacentral:lncRNA from 1 species